AUGGCUAGUGACAUUACAAAUUCUAUUCUCAAGAUUGUCAAAGUGGCCAAAUAUUUCUCUGUUAUCCUGGAUUGUACCCCGGAUGUGAGUCAUCAAGAACAAAUGAGUUUGUUGGUUCGAUGUGUUCAUAUAUCUGAUGGAAAAAUACAAAUUGUGGAGUACUUCCUUGCUUUUUUGGUAGUGGAGGACACAUCUGGUUUGGGAAUUUUCAAGGUAUUGGUUGAUUCUAUGAAGUCCUUCGGUCUUAAUAUUGAUGAUAUUAGGGGCCAAGGUUAUGACAAUGGAUCCAACAUGAAAGGAAAAUACAAGGGGUUGCAAUGUCGGUUGCUUGAGGUAAAUCCAAGAGCUUUGUAUAUGCCAUGUGCUUGCCACAGUCUUAAUCUUACCCUUUGUGAUAUGGCUAAAUCUUGUGGUAGAGCUGUUUCUUUUUUUAGAAUUGUGCAACGAAUAUAUGUAUUAUUCAGGUUCUACGAAAAGAUGGAAAGUUUUUGUUAG
rnacentral:rRNA from 1 species